AUACGGAGGGUGCAAGCGUUAUCCGGAAUCAUUGGGUUUAAAGGGUCCGUAGGCGGACUAUUAAGUCAGAGGUGAAAUCCCACAGCUCAACUGUGGAACUGCCUUUGAUACUAGUAGUCUUGAGUUAUAUGGAAGUAGAUAGAAUGUGUAGUGUAGCGGUGAAAUGCAUAGAUAUUACACAGAAUACCGAUUGCGAAGGCAGUCUACUACGUAUAUACUGACGCUAAGGGACGAAAGCGUGGGGAGCGAACAGGAUUAGAAACCCCGGUAGUCC
rnacentral:rRNA from 1 species